rnacentral:ncRNA from 1 species
GAAAGCUGUAUGCGCUGCAAGGUGCAUGUACAGUUUGGGGAGGAGAUGCGGGGAAAUAGUUCGACUACGCCCCGUGUCUUACUCUAC